AGCGGCGGACGGGUGAGUAACGCGUGGGUAACCUGCCUCAUACAGGGGGAUAACAGUUGGAAACGGCUGCUAAUACCGCAUAAGCGCACAGUACCGCAUGGUACGGUGUGAAAAACUCCGGUGGUAUGAGAUGGACCCGCGUCUGAUUAGGUAGUUGGUGGGGUAACGGCCUACCAAGCCGACGAUCAGUAGCCGACCUGAGAGGGUGACCAGCCACAUUGGGACUGAGACACGGCCCAA
rnacentral:rRNA from 1 species